rnacentral:rRNA from 1 species
GAUGAACGCUGGCGGCGUGCCUAAUACAUGCAAGUCGAACGCUGGAGAUCUAGCUUGCUAGAUCGAAGGAGUGGCGAACGGGUGAGUAAUACAUAAGCAACCUACCCACGAAGACUGGGAUAAUCUCUGGAAACGGGGACUAAUACCGGAUAGGUAAUCGGAAGGCAUCUUCUGGUUAUUAAAGGUUAAAAACACUGGUGGAUGGGCUUAUGGCGCAUUAGUUAGUUGGUGAGGUAACGGCCCACCAAGACGAUGAUGCGUAGCCGGCCUGAGAGGGUGAACGGCCACAUUGGGACUGGGACACGGCCCAGACUCCUACGGGAGGCAGCAGUAGGGAAUUUUCGGCAAUGGGGGCAACCCUGACCGAGCAACGCCGCGUGAGUGAAGACGGCCUUCGGGUUGUAAAGCUCUGUUGUAAGGGAAGAACGGUAGAUAGAGAAUAUCUAAGUGACGGUACCUUACCAGAAAGCCACGGCUAACUACGUG